UGAGCUUCAGAGGUUUUGAUAGGUUAGCCGUUUCCCGUUAGCCAGGCUAGCCGUUUCCCUUGCCUUCCAGUCUUUAUGCUAAGUUAGGCUAACCACACCCUGACUCCACCUCUGUACUGAACAUGCAGACUUGAAGGUGAUCUUCUGAUCUCGCUCUCUAUUUUCCAAAAUGUUGAACUAUUCUUUUAACGUAACCCAGACUAUUUUAUGUUGCAUUUGACCGAUCCACACGUUUGUAACAGAGCACAAUUUUUUUUAACAAGUGAAUUUCACAAAUCAAUAAUGUAUAUGUAUGUAUAUGUAUAUGUAUAUAUCUUGGCACACAUGGAAGACUACAAGUACCACCAUGCAACUGACUUUUUUAUGAACAAUGUUUGGAAUGUAAAAAAGUUCAAACUUUAGCUUCCCCUUUACUUUUAUUUGUCCUUUCUUGCAUCUAAAUAUCAAAUGAGAUUUCACUGAAUGGAAAAUUGAGUGAUGGUUAAGAAAGAAGUAUUGCCAGUAAAUUGCAUCAGGACUCACUUUAUGACAAAGAACUCCCAUUCAAGGUGUGAGCUUAUUGAGCUGUGCUCUGGGAAUAUUUGUAUUAAAAUGUAGGAGAGCUGAAGUUUCUUCAACGCAGUGGGAGAUCCACUGGUGACACAUGAGGAAAAUGUUAUUAAGCAAAGUCAGUUCAGCAGUUUGAGCUCCUCUAACCUGUGGAACAUGUUUUUUCUGCCUCUGCACAUUAAACCCAGAGGGGAUCUUUUCAGGCAGCUUCAUCAGCAACCUCUGGUCCUAUCAGAGAUGGCAAUGACAGUCAGUUGCUUUAGUCUAUACGGAAAUAUCUGAGUAACUGUUUGGUCAUAGUGGAUAUCUGUACAACAUUUUAUGGCACAUCAUCAGAGGUUGAAUCCUUGGUGAUCCCCUGACUUUACCUGUGACACCACCAUGUGGUUGACAUUUGUGGUUUGAGUGAAAUUUCUCGUCUACUAUUGAUUGCUACUAGAUUGAUUGCUGUGAAAUUUGGUAUGGUAAUAGCAUUGAUGACUUUUCUCCUAGCGCCAAAUCAGGUCAAAAUUUCAGUUUGUGCAGCUCCAGACACUCCAGUAAUGGUCCAAGAAAUAGUCUGGCACAUAAUCCCUUGUAAACGGCAAAAUGCUGUUUUUACUGUACAUUUUUGUUUUUUUGUUUUUGUUCAGAUUAAACAAGAUACAAUUUGCUAAUUAUUGAGCUUUAGAGGUGCUGUUAGGAGGAUUUAGUUACCGUUGGACAGCACUAAGCUAAAUGUUUCCCCCUCCCAGUCUUUGUGGUUAGCUAAGCUAUCUGGCUGUAGCCUUAUAUUUAACGGACAGAUGAGAGUGAGAGUGGUGUUAAACUUACUAUCUAACUUUUUGUCAGAAAACAAAUAAGCACAUUUCCUCAAAUGUUAAACUAUUCCUUUAAAGGAUUGGUUCACAUUUUUCAACUCUGUGUUAAUACAAUACUACGCCAGUAUGCAAAUUAAAAUGGUACAUGAACUGCACUCAACUCAACACUUCUCUACCUUAGUGGAGAAGGCACUUUACAAUUUACCUCUCAUUCACACACACACACAGGAUCAAACCACCAACCCUGUAAUCAAGGAACAACCUCAUGCGGCAACUAACUCAGCUUGAGGCUGAAGUACGUUAAAGUGCAAUACCACCAACGGCCACUAGGUGCUGGCUCCAAAAAAUCCCUGGCUCCAAUUGACAAGGAUUUUUCUCCAGACAAGCAGUUCUAAUGUCUUCCUGGUUAAGGAGUUACACCAACAAAACCCUCACAGGAUGCUGUCAUGCAAUAUUUUGCAUUUGAAAGUUGAAUGUUACUUGAUUAGCCCAAGUGUGCAGCACUCAGCGUUUCCAUUCAUUAAAUCCCUGCAGCAGGACUGAUAUGUUGAUAAAUGCACAGCCCCUGAGAAGUGCUGCACGAGAGCGCAGAGCCAUUACGUAUGCCUGAACUGGUUCCAUCUUCAGUCCUGUGGAGCAUCAGUGUAACAUGGUGAGGAAUGAAACUUUAGCUCAAUGAGGCUUUCCAGUUUAAAUAGUGGACCACGACAUGCUGGUGUAUUUGUCAAACUCAUUUACGUAUCAUUCUUGAAAUAAAGAAAUUCAAAUAAACCA